rnacentral:rRNA from 1 species
UACGUAGGGUGCAAGCGUUAAUCGGAAUCAUUGGGCGUAAAGCGCACGUAGGCGGUCUGUUAUGUCGGAUGUGAAAGCCCUCGGCUCAACUGAGGAAGUGCAUCCGAAACUGGCAGGCUAGAGUACUAAAGAGGGUCGCGGAAUUCCCGGUGUAGAGGUGAAAUUCGUAGAUAUCGGGAGGAACACCGGUGGCGAAGGCGGCGACCUGGGUAGAUACUGACGCUGAGGUGCGAAAGCGUGGGGAGCAAACAGG